rnacentral:tRNA from 2 species
UUCGUCUAGAGGCCCAGGACACCGCCCUUUCACGGCGGUAACAGGGGUUCGAAUCCCCACCACUUU